GAUUGAAGAACGCAGCGAAAUGCGAUAAGUAGUGUGAAUUGCAGAAUUCAGUGAAUCAUCGAAUCUUUGAACGCACAUUGCGCCCUUUGGUAUUCCUUAGGGCAUGCCUGUUCGAGCGUCAUUUAAACCUUCAAGCUAAGCUUGGUGUUGGGUGACUGUCCGCUUCACGGCGGACUCGCCUCAAAAUUAUUGGCGGCCGGUACAUUGGCUUCGAGCGCAGCAGAAACGCGAACUCGGGCCCGUCGUAUUGGCUCCCAGAAGCUAUCUUCACAAUUUUGACCUCGGAUCAGGUAGGGAUACCCGCUGAACUUAAGCAUAUCAAUAAGCGGAGGA
rnacentral:misc_RNA from 1 species